AAUAGAUACCCAGGUAGUCCACCCCGUAAACGUUGGAACUAGUUGUGGGGUCCUUUCCACGGAUUCCGUGACGCAGCUAACGCAUUAAGUUCCCCGCCUGGGGAGUACGGCCGCAAGGCUAAAACUCAAAGGAAUUGACGGGGACCCGCACAAGCGGCGGAGCAUGCGGAUUAAUUCGAUGCAACGCGAAGAACCUUACCAAGGCUUGACAUACACGAGAACACUCUGGAAACAGGGGACUCUUUGGACACUCGUGAACAGGUGGUGCAUGGUUGUCGUCAGCUCGUGUCGUGAGAUGUUGGGUUAAGUCCCGCAACGAGCGCAACCCUCGUUCUAUGUUGCCAGCACGUUAUGGUGGGAACUCAUGGGAUACUGCCGGGGUCAACUCGGAGGAAGGUGGGGAUGACGUCAAAUCAUCAUGCCCCUUAUGUCUUGGGCUUCACGCAUGCUACAAUGGCCGGUACAAAGGGCUGCAAUACCGUGAGGUGGAGCGAAUCCCAAAAAGCCGGUCCCAGUUCGGAUUGAGGUCUGCAACUCGA
rnacentral:rRNA from 1 species